CCUACGGGGGGCAGCAGUAGGGAAUCUUCCACAAUGGGCGAAAGCCUGAUGGAGCAACGCAGCGUGCGUGAAGAAGGUCUUCGGAUCGUAAAACUCUGUUGUUAGAGAAGAAAGUUUGCGAGAGUAACUGUUCACGUUUCGACGGUAUCUUACCAGAAAGCGAUGGCUAACUAAGUGCCAGCAGCCGCGGUAAUACGUAGGUGGCAAGCGUUAUCCGGAAUUAUUGGGCGUAAAGGGAACGCAGGCGGUCUUUUAAGUCUGAUGUGAAAUCCUCGGGGUUAACCGGCGGAGUGCUUUGGAUACUAGCAAACUAGAGUGCGAUAGAGGUAAGCGGAAUUCCAUGUGUAGCGGUGAAAUGCUUAGAUAUAUGGAAGAACACCAAUGGCGAAGGCAGCUUACUGGGUCGAAACUGACGCUGAGGGUCGAAAGCGUGGGGAGCAAACAGGAUUGGAUACCCGAGUAGUC
rnacentral:rRNA from 1 species